rnacentral:rRNA from 1 species
GACGAGCGCUGGCGGCGUGCUUAACACAUGCAAGUCGAACGGAAAGGCCCUGCUUUUGUGGGGUGCUCGAGUGGCGAACGGGUGAGUAACAAGUGAGUAACCUGCCCUUGACUUUGGGAUAACUUCAGGAAACUGGGGCGAAUACCGGAUAGGAGCUCCUGCUGCAUGGUGGGGGUUGGAAAGUUUCGGCGGUUGGGGAUGGACUCGGGGCUUAUCAGCUUGUUGGUGGGGUAGUGGCUUACCAAGGCUUUGACGGGUAGCCGGCCUGAGAGGGUGACCGGCCACAUUGGGACUGAGAUACGGCCCAGACUCCUACGGGAGGCAGCAGUGGGGAAUAUUGCACAAUGGGCGGAAGCCUGAUGCAGCAACGCCGCGUGCGGGAUGACGGCCUUCGGGUUGUAAACCGCUUUCGCCUGUGACGAAGCGUGAGUGACGGUAAUGGGUAAAGAAGCACCGGCUAACUACGUG